GGGAGGAGUGGGCGAGGAGCCGGGGGAAUACUGGGGGGUGAAGGGUUAAUCGGAUUGUCUGGGCGUAACGAGGUCGUGGGUGGUGGUGUAAGUUGGAUGUGAAACACCCUGGCGUAGCCUGGGCACUGCAUUAAAUGCUGCACGGGUAGAGUAUUGGAGAGGAAGGUAGAAUUCCAGGUGUAGCGGUGAAAUGCGUAGAGAUCUGGAGGAAUAACGAUGGCGAAGGCAGCCUUCUGGCCAAAUACUGACGCUGAGGUGCGAAAGCAUGGGGAGCAAACAGGAUUAGAUACCCGAGUAGUC
rnacentral:rRNA from 1 species